GGACUAUCGUUUCGGAAACACUUGAUUUUGAAAGUCAAUUUUAAAGGUUCAACUCCUUUAUAAUCCU
rnacentral:tRNA from 1 species